ensembl:lncRNA
AUUCAAGAUAACGCCGAGUGAGUAAUUGCUAAUCUUCCUGAUGUGCCUGGUAACUGACAUGUAAUCGUAACCUCACCCAGGAGGAGAUGGAGCGACGUGAAGUUUAUAUCAAGUUCAUAAUCUGUCCAAAACACCUCAUCUCAUCUACUUAUGGUUUUGAAAGUCUGGCAGCGAAUUGCUUUCCCUCCUCGAGCCCCACGGACCUGUGAGGAACCUGCUGGGAGGAACCUGCUGGGGACCACCAUCAGGUAGAACCACCAUCAGAUAGACCCACCAUCACAUAGAACCACCAUCAGAUAGACCCACCAUCACAUAGAACCACCAUCAGAUAGACCCACCAUCACCUAGAACCACCAUCAGAUAGACCCACCAUCACAUAGAAGCACCAUCACGUAGAACCACCAUCACGUAGAACCACCAUCACAUAGAACCACCAUCAGGUAGAACCACCAUCAGAUAGAUCCUCCAUCAGAUAGAAGCACCAUCACAUAGAACCACCAUCAGAUAGAACCACCAUCCACAGAAGCCUGUGGGGAGCAAGAGCACUACGACUUUAGGGGAGCGUAUUGUUGGUUUACGAUGACAGUAACAGUAAUGUGAUAUUUAAAACAACAAUAAUGAGGAUGGUGGCAGCAGCAGGGGUCAGCAGGGUCACGGCAGGAGGCAGGAACAGGGUCCAGAUUGAACCAAGAUUCAUGGAAACCUGUGAGGUGAGAAAGCACAAAUACUUGGAAGAAACAAAGUUAGUGAUGCGCAGUAAAGUUUACAGUAAUAGAAAUGGGAAUAUUAAUAGUGUUAGAAGUGAUAGUUUAUCAAGAAAGCUUACUUAUCAAAAUGGAUCAACUUCAUUUGACAAUUCUUGCUGAUGGAUUUUAUUGGCUGCGGAACAGGAGCUCUGAAGGAAAUUGCAUAAACAUUUCCGCCGUGGAUUUUCUGGUGUAAAUAAAGUUGAAGGUUUUAAAUCUGGCAACUUGUAACAAGUUUUGUGAGCAAACAAUUACAGUUCAGCUUAUUGAAAUGUCUCUUUCAUGCCUGCAAUAUUUUCCUAACCUUAAUCUCAAUGAACGUAUACCUGCGAAUGCAAACAAUAGCGGUUUGUUUCUUAAAGAUGCUGAUCUUGACGGAUUGAUUGAAAAGGAAAAGACCCUCUCAUUGUGUUUGCCCACAGCGUUUCCCCUCAGCUUUCCUCUUCGCGCUCCCAGUCCCACCUGGAGCGCCGCUGACGGAUAGAUGCAUUGACAGGAGACCCCCGCCAGGCUCCUUAAACACCCAUUGUUCUACACAAAGGUCAACCUCCGAGCAGUGGAUUGUUGUCAUGCAGCAGCAACACCAGAGGGAACGCAUGAGAUCAGAAGUGUGCAAGCAACACGGAAGACUACACACCCACAGAUUAAAAGCACUUUCAUUUUUCAAACAAUCGGUUUCUAAUUUGGUUUUGUGUACUAAAAACUAUCCUUGACUGAGGUGUUUAGUGGAUAAAUCAUCACGUACAUCAAACAUCCGAUCUGUCUGGAUCAGGAGACUUUAAUCAUCUUUAAAUCACCACAUGAAUUAUUACGUUUCCAUUGUGUGACCGAUCACCUGAUCUUCUGUUUAGUGGCCCUGUUGGGGGAUCAACAUCUGGAUGCUUGGAGGCUCCAGUGGAACUACAAGAUUGAUGUUUUGUUGGUUCGGGGGGAAAUGGCUGCUUGGAGGAGGGUCCCUGAAGUCUAAUUAUUCUUAGUUCUCUGAAUUUCAAUGCAGGCAAGGACGUUGUUUCUUUCCGCUAACACACUGUUAGCAAGGCCUCCAUGGACCCCCCGUGAGAAACCACCUUGCCCCCCAUGCUCUGACCUACGUGGUGGUUCAGCACACCAGGAAGGAUGACGCUUCCCUCCCAGUCUGGUUGUGUUGUAUAUCUUUAGUUCAUGGCGGGACUUUCAAUAUGAGCAGCAAAGAAGCGUAGUUAGGACCCCUGUAGGGGGGCAUCUAUUGCCGGCAGGGCAAAGAGUCGAGAAUGAUUAGUUCGUACCGAGCCACCUUGUGGUUUCCUCAGUGGGCCUUGUGGUCUCCUCAGUUGGCCUUGUGGUCUCCUCAGUGGGCCUUGUGGUCUCCUCAGUGGGCCUUGUGGGCUCCUCAGUUGGCCUUGUGGUCUCCUCAGUGGGCCUUGUGGUCUCCUCAGUUGGCCUCGUGCCGUUUUUGGCUCCAUAGCUCCUUGAUUUAGUUUAGAGCCUUUUUGUGAUUGAUUGUUUGAGGAUUAUUUCCUCUGUGAGAGAGAUUUUGGUUUUGCAUUUGUUAACUAUUCAGCUCCCUUAGUUUAGCCAGAGCUUUCCCCCGUUCAUCUCUCUUCGGAGAAGUUUUUUGUUCCCAGGGAAAUAAAAGCGUCAGCUGAACCUCAACUCUGCGUCCGAGGCCUCCUCAGGAGCUUCCUCCGUGACAGAUUAGGAGCAUUCAUAGUAACUUUUAUUGCAAUAUAGAAAUCUGUAUCCAGGACACUGAUUACUAAAAAACGUAUUUCUCUCCCUCUUCUGGCCCAGUUUGUCCUAAAGUUGAUAGCAUGAGUGUAUUUAACACAAACACGCCGCUGAGUUCAAAGGUGGCGGAAAAAACAUCCAGUUGGCAGAAUGAACUGGAAAACUCGUGCAACAGGCUUCUUUUCAGCAGAGGGGAUCCAAACGCCCCCGACGGACUGAUAGUGAGAAUAGUGAGGUCAUGGGAGGAGGCAUGCUGUGAUACGCACUGAGCAGACCAUUGUUGGAUCAUCGACACUGUGAUGCUGCACAGGGAUAGCAGAGGCUGGAUGGUGUUGGAUUAUAUUUAUGAAUAUGUGAAUAUCUUAUGGAUAGAUCAUGUGACAAUAUGGAUUUAUUUUAUCAGUUGCUCAAAUACUCUUUUUUUUGAUAAAACUUCCUGACAAACCUCAGUCUGUCUUACCGCCAUGCUGCUAAAUGAAUGUGGCGCUGUGGAGUUUUUAUUGUGCUACAAUAGCAGUAAAUUCUCAGCACACAUUUUUCCAGUCAACAUCUGGAACGAUGCCACAGCUCUCAUUAUGGCCCCAAUGCUGCAGCCUUGUUUCAGAGACCUGUUUACGGCUUCUGGGUCGACUUCCCAGGGAGAUUCUUCUGCAUUUCUACUCUACAUAAACUGCUGUUCCAGGUUCAAACUGCACCAUCUUUUAUCAAAUGCAUGUGAGACUUCUUCUCUUUGGUCACGUCACCCAGCCCGACCAGUUGAGAACCACUGUUCACCUCCUGCAUCGUCAGCACCGCCGUGCGUGGAUCAGAUCCUGCGGGUGGUUUCUUUCAUUUCACAUCACAAACAAACCGACGAUCUUUGAUUAUUUGGUCCACACAAAACCAACGACAGUGUCCGUGGAAAGUUCCAGGAUGUCGUCAACACGGCGUGGGCGUGAAAGCAACGUAGAGACCAGACGAUGUUUAAAGGGCGCUGAGCUGAAAUAAGCUGUGGAAACAACAGUGGAACGUUUCCCCGCUAGCUCGCAUGCAUAAACAGUUGCUCAUCAGAUCGACACGUCCACCAUGUGGGGAGCAACGUUAGCGUGAUAAUCUGAGCACAUCCAGUCCCUCUCCUUGGUGGAGAACAGCUCCUGUGAGAAAUGCUCCACUGUGUUCACCGCGUGGUCUCUAGAUGAGUGUCUGCUGGGUGGUGCUGGGCCACCAUCGUCCCCUCGUGAGCCUUCAAAUACAGAAUUGUCACAUGUAGUGACAUGAAGUCCAAGCCCGCACAGUGAAUCAUUUAUGUGCAUUCUGAUGUUACUGAUAUGCUUCAGGUGCUCACCGUACUCUAAAGCAGCUCUUCAUUGCCGUUC